rnacentral:lncRNA from 1 species
CUCAAGCUGAGCUUUCGCUCGCCAUCCACCACUGCUGUUUGCCGCCGUCCCAGACCCGCCGUUGACUUCCACCCUUCUGGAUCCAGCAGGGUGUCCAUUGCACUCCUGAUCCAGCGAGGUGCCCAUUGCCGCUCCUGAUUGGGCUAAAGGCUCACCAUUGUUCCUGCACAGGAACCAUCAUACUGUUUUCCACAGUGGCUUUACCAUUUUACAUUCCCAAAGACGGUACACAAAGGCUCCAAUUUCUCCAUAUCCUCUCCAACACUUGUUAUUUUCUGUUUUUGUAAUAGUAGCCAUCUUAACGGGUGUGAGGUGGUAUUUCAUGGUGAUAUUUCAUGCAUUUCUCUAAUGAUUACUGAUGUUGAGUGUCUUCAUGUGAUUAUUGGCCAUCUGUAUAUCUGUUUUGUAGAAAUAUCUAUUCAAGUCCUGUGUCUAUUUUUUAAUUGGGUUGUUUUGUUGUUGAGCUUUAGGAGCUAUCUACAUACUCUAGAUAUUAAUCCCUUACCAGACUUAUAAUUUGCAAAUAUUUUAUUUUAUCCCAUUCUGUGAGUUGACUUUUUACUCUAUGGAUAGGUGUUUUGUUUUGAGAUGGAGUCUUGUUCUUGUUGCCCAGGCUGGAGUGCAAUGGCACAAUCCUGGCUCACUGCAACCUCUGCUUCCCAGAUUCAAGUGAUUCUCCUGCCUCAGCCUCCCAAGUAUCUGGGAUUACAGGCACUUGCCACCAAGCCCGGCUAAUUUUUGUAUU